CAGCGAGGAUUACCUGUUGUUCACCAGCUGGGGGCUGCCAGGAGUAGCUGCAUGGAGUGCCGGGUUCAGUGGCAGCAGAUUUGAAGCAGCUCCUCAAGUGGCCAGGCUCUGGCACACUCUGUCCUGUUCCAAAUGGUAGUUUGCUUUCAUCAUGGUGAAACUUCUGUCUGGCUGUUGGGCUGAGCAGAAGCACAAAAGAAUGAGGAGCUCUUUGCUGCCAGUGACUGGCUUCCUUUCUGCUUUGUGCUGACUGAGGGACAUUGUGGAAGCGACGUGCACCUAAAUAUCCUGGGUGGACUUGUGCUCCUCACUUGUUGUCUGUGACACGUGUUUCUGUAGUCGCCAUCCCUAUUAUGUUA